UACAGAGGGGGCAAGCGUUGUUCGGAAUUACUGGGCGUAAAGGGCGCGUAGGCGGCCUGUUAAGUCGAACGUGAAAUCCCCGGGCUCAACCCGGGAACUGCGUCCGAUACUGGUAGGCUUGAAUUCGGGAGAGGGAUGCGGAAUUCCAGGUGUAGCGGUGAAAUGCGUAGAUAUCUGGAGGAACACCGGUGGCGAAGGCGGCAUCCUGGACCGACAUUGACGCUGAGGCGCGAAAGCCAGGGGAGCAAACGGG
rnacentral:rRNA from 1 species